rnacentral:rRNA from 1 species
AAUGUGUAAUUUGAAUCAAUUUCUAUCCUUUUAAAAAUACAAACACCUUUUGGGUGUUACUUUUUUUAAGGAUUUAGUUAUUAAAGGAUUAAUUAUGGAUUGCUAACCAGUUAAUAUUAAGAGGAAGCUUUUAAAGCUUAAUUCAGCAAUUUUUUAAUUGUUGUUUCUCCUAAAGGUAAACCACUAAAAAGAAAUAACUUCGGUUUUUCUUUAAAAUAAACUAGAGGAACUGAAUCAUCUUAGUACUCUAAGGAAAAUAAAAUAACAAUGAUUAUUGUAGUAGUGGCGAACGAAUCAUUAAUAGUCUAACUUAUAAAAAUAUUAAAAAAAAAAUUUUUACCAAAGAAGAGAAAAAUGGGUUCUUCAUUUUUAAUAAGUAAUAAGUAAUAAAGUAAAAUGGGAACUUAACCUGUUUGAAUAUUGGAGAACCAAUCUCCAAAGACUAAAUAUAUUAACUGAGUGAUAGUGAAGAGUACCGUAAGGGAAAGCAAUGAAAUAGUUAAUCUAUAAGCGAAGAUAGUGAAUUUUAAAUAAAUUAUUAUCUUGUACCUUUUGCAUAAUGGGUCAGCAAGUUUUAAUUAUUUGCAAGCUGAAAGGCCAUAAAGUAAAUAAUUAAAGACCCGAAACCUGACGAUCUUACCAUGAACAGAUUUUAAGGAUCGAACCAGUAAUCGUUGCAAAGAUUUUGGAUGAUUUGUGGUAAGGGGUGAAAUGCUAAUCGAGUUAGGUGAUAGCUGGUUGUCCACGAAACCAUUUUAAGAUGGGCACUUCAAAAACUAAAUGAGGUACAGAAAUUUAUUGCCUUCAAGAAGUUUUUUCUUGUUAAUAGGGGAUCUAAAGAUUUACCUAAGGCGUUAAUUAAUCUCGGAAUAAAUUUAAAAAAGUUUGAAGUAGUUAGACAAUUGGCGAUAAGGUCAAUAGUCAAAAGAGAAACAGCUCAGAUCAAAGAUUUAAAGUUCCCCAAUUUAAGUUAAGUGAUUUAAAGAUAGUCUUACUCCUUAUUCAAUAAGAAUAUGGGCUUGGAAACAGCCAUUAUCUAAGGAGUACGUAAUAGUUCACUUAUCCAAAAAAAUAAAAUUUACUGGAGAAAGGCAUCAAAAAUUUAACGGAUCUUAAACUUAAUACUUAAACUUUGGCAGUAUUUAAAAAAUACUGGGUAGUGGACCGAUCUAUAUAAAGAUGAAGAUGAACUUUUAAGUUUAUUGGAUUUAUUAGAUGCGAGAAUGCUGACAUAAGUAACGUAAAAAAAGGUCAAAUUCCUUUUCACCGAAAACUGAAGGGUUUUGACUUAAAAAGCUUAGCUUAAGUCAAAUAAAGUAACAAUCUCUAAGCUAAUAAAUAGUGAUGAGUAAAUCUUAACGGAUCUUAAAAUAAAAGUUUUAUUGAAUAGAAAUUUUUAUUCAGGAAAAUUAUCCGUUAUUUUAAUUGUACCCUAAACCGACACUGGUCAGUUAAGAGAAUAUCUUAAGGUGUUGAGAGAACUAUGCUUAAGGAACUCGGCAAAUUAGCUCUGUUACUUCGGUAUAAAGAGUGUUCAUUAUUUUAUGAACUCAAUAAAGAGAACCCUACAACUGUUUACUUAAAACACAGCACAUUGCCAAAAUUAAAAAAUUAUAGUAUAAUGUGUGAGGUCUGCUCAAUGUCCUAUGGUUAACAAUACGAACUUUAACGAGUUUUACGGAACCCAGGAUAAAUAGCGGCUUUAACUCUGAGGGUCCUAAGGUAGCGAAAUUCCUUGUCCGAUAAAUACGGUCCCGCAUGAAUGACUUAAUGAUAGGGUUGCUGUCUCAAGCAUAGACUCAGUGAAAUUGUAAUUGCUGUGAAGAUACAGUGUUCCCUCAGCUAGACGGAAAGACCCUGGCAGCUUUACGAUAGUUAAUUAUUGAUUAAAGAAAAAAUCAUCCAAAAGAUGAUCUCUUCUUUCUCGCUUUAUCUAUUUUUGUUCAGUAUAGAGGUUAGUCGUUUAGACAAAAAUGAGAUAUCCUCCUUAAAUAAUAAAGAUCUUUAAAGUUUAAACUUGACAUUAAUUAAUUGAUCGUUUCUGUGGGGCGCAGGCCUCAUAAAAAAUAACUGAGGUAUCCUAGAUCUAUAUAAUUUGUCUGGAAAUCAAAGUAUCCAGAAACAUUUUUUAAGUGUUUCUUAAUUAAUGAUACAUGACGCAUAUAAGCAUAAAUAGGUUAAACUGAAAGACUAACAAGUCGCACAGAUAUGUAAAUAGGGUUAAAUGAUCCACAUUGAAACACUAAUUUAGUGUUUGUAUGGAAAACAAUGUGCUCAAUGAGCGAAGUUACGCCAGGGAUAACAGGUUAAUAGAGAGCUAAAGUACAAAUCAAAUUCUCUGUUUGACACCUCGAUGUCGACUCAACCUAUCCUCCGGUUGUAGCAGAUUGGAAGGGUUAGACUGUUCGUCUAUUUAAAAGGUUACGUGAGUUGGGUUAAAUCCGUCGUAAGACAGGAUGGUUCCUAUCUACUGAGGGUAAAAUAAGCAAAUUAAAAUUUAUCUUUUGUACGCAAGGAUUUAGAUAAUUCAAUCUCUAGUUUAACUAUUGUUACUUAAAUAAAGAGACUUUAUUCAAAAGUUAAAAAUUAAGUAGCACGGUAGUAAAGCCAAAUUGAACAAAUUAAAAACUGAAAGCAUCUCAAGUUUGAAAUUUAUUUAAAGAGCUUAUAUUAAGAAAGUAGAAAACUUUCCAAAAGGACAUCCUUAGGAUGUAUAAAUCCUUAUUUUAGUAAAUCAUUGUUUAGAUAGAUUUAGUUAAUUUUUUAACCAAAGGGAUUAUCUCUUUGCUAAUUUUUUAAAUAACUGGAAAUUGCCUAAUUACACAAUUUU